rnacentral:antisense_RNA from 1 species
CAAUGAUUGAGUCAGUCAUGUCUCCGUAAUAAGGCCUCCAUAAAAACCAAAGAGGAUGAGGUUUGCAGAGCUUCUGGGCUGGCGAACACUUGGAUGUGCUGGAGGCAUCCAGAGGGUGGAGCACAUGGAGAGGGCAUGAAAGUUCCGUGCACCUUCCCUCAUAACUUGCCUUAUACAGCGUUUGCAUUUGGCUGCUGUUGAGUUUUAUUCUUUAUAACAAUAUGCUAACCCUAAGCGAAGUUUUCCUGAGUUCUGUGAGCCAUUCUAGCAAAUGAUGGAACCUGAGAAAGGGGACAUGGGAAUCUCUGACUUACAGCCAGUCAGUCCAAAGCACAGGAAACCAAAAUCAUCAUACCAGAUAUGUGAAUCUCCCUCAUUUGGCAUCCCAUGAGGCCUGGAUCUCUUUCACUGUGAAUGCCCUGCUGCUAAAACCGUACAAGCACCUUUCCUCCAGGCCCAGGGGAUACUGCAGAAGAGGCUGAAGGUUGCACUAUUGGCUUCCCUACUUUUGAGGUUUUGGGACUCAGACUGGCUUCCUGGCUCCUCACCUUGCAGAUGGUCUAUUGUGGGACCUCAUCUUGUGAUCAUGUCUCAGUAUGUUGCUCAGACUGGUCUUGAACUCCUGGCCUCAAGUGAUCCUCCCACCUCAGCCUCUUGAGUAGCUGGGACUACAGUUGCAAGCCAUCCUGUCUGGCUAGUUAUCUUUAAUUAAUGACAUUUGUUAAAGUAACAGAACAAUCCUAGAAACAUUUGCCUGUUGAAACUUUCUGAUAAUCUGAAUGAAGUAAAGUUUGGAGUCUCUGUCUCAUUGAAAAUACUCAAGGUUAAUAUAAUAAAAACAGCAAAGCAGUAA